rnacentral:lncRNA from 1 species
CAGGGAGAUCGCUAAACGCUUGGCUGUCAUCGUAUUCCAGGAUACGAGCCUCGGCUUCUGCGGCUGCAGCUUCUCUCUGUGCUUCAAGAAGGUUAAAUUUGGCUUUCAAGCUCAGGCUUUUCAGGGCUUACCCGUACGGCUUCUUGUUGCAUUUGAGCCUUCCUGCGCAUAGCCUCUUGUUCUACUUGCGUUUUUCUGUGAGCGGCC